rnacentral:misc_RNA from 1 species
CAAGGAUUGCUCGGCUAUUUCAGGUACGAAAUACGAAUGUGUUUCUUGGAUGCUAGAUUUCCAUAUACCUAUAUGUUCAAUGCAAGUUGAGAUCGAUUUUGACUUGACUUUAUCGUCAUUGUCGGUUUACUUUAUCUUCAUUCUCGGUUUUGCUUCAACCUUUUUCAAGUAACUUUUGAUAAGAAGAAAAUGGGAUCCUAGUCAGACUGUAGUUGAAAAAUUCUGCAUCAUCAUUGAAAUUUUAAUAAUUUUGCUAAAUGCUGAUUGGAUGUAAUCUGAUUGGUAUAUUCACAAGCAUGAUUGGACUGUAAUGCUUAAUGCACAUGAUGAUCUAUUUGACCUUUUUCUUUAAAUAAUAUUUAGUUGAAGUAAGAAAUAACUUUAAAAAAUUAAAUUUUUUGAGGUAGGAAACAAAAGAUUAAAGGUGGUGGUAAUAAAAGCAAAUGCAAGAGUAGAUUAGGGAUUAAAACUAUCAAUUGACCGAAACAAAAGAGAGAAAUUAAAGGGAAUAGAGAACUGACAUUAUCGAAGUAGUCUUCUGAGAAAGAGUCAAGCUCAAUCGCCCCAAGGUAAUCUUUUCUUGUUUCCGUUUUGCUUGUGGAGAUUGAACUGCAUACAGAAAACUGUAAAGAGAAGGAAACACAACUUGUGAAAUAUGUCUCCAGGUGUGAAUUUGCAUCAUGUCAACGAAUUGAUUUUUUUUUUC